UUUUUUGAGAGUUUGAUCCUGGCUCAGGAUGAACGCUGGCUGUGUGCCUAAUACAUGCAUGUCGAGCGGAGUAUUAAUUUAUUAGUGCUUAGCGGCAAAUGGGUGAGUAACACGUAUUUAACCUACCUCAAAGACUGGGAUAACAACAGGAAACUGUUGCUAAUACCGGAUAUGUAUUUAGAUCGCAUGAUUUAGAUAUCAAAGGAGCGUUUGCUUCACUUUGAAAUGGGAGUGCGUUACAUUAGCUAGUUGGUAGGGUAAUGGCCUACCAAGGCGAUGAUGUAUAGCUGAGUUGAGAGACUGAACAGCCACACUGGGACUGAGAUACGGCCCAGACUCCUACGGGAGGCAGCAGUAGGGAAUUUUCCACAAUGGACGAAAGUCUGAUGGAGUGACACAGCGUGCAGGAUGAAGGUCUUCGGAUUGUAAACUGCUGUUAUAAGGGAAGAAAAGCUUAGGGAGGAAAUGCCCUAAGUAUGACGGUACCUUGUCAGAAAGCACCGGCUAACUAUGUGCCAGCAGCUGCGGUAAUACAUAGGGUGCAAGCGUUAUCCGAAAUUAUUGGGUGUAAAGAGUUCGUAGGUUGUUUGUUAAGUCAGAAGUUAAAUCCCGGGGCUCAACCCUGGCCCGCUUUUGAUACUAGCAAACUAGAGUUAUAAAGAGGUUAGUGGAAUUCCUAGUGAAGCGGUGAAAUGUGUAGAUAUUAGGAAGAACAUCAAUGGC
rnacentral:rRNA from 1 species